rnacentral:rRNA from 1 species
GAUGAACGCUGGCGGCGUGCCUAAUACAUGCAAGUCGAGCGAACGGACGAGAAGCUUGCUUCUCUGAUGUUAGCGGCGGACGGGUGAGUAACACGUGGAUAACCUACCUAUAAGACUGGGAUAACUUCGGGAAACCGGAGCUAAUACCGGAUAAUAUUUUGAACCGCAUGGUUCAAAAGUGAAAGACGGUCUUGCUGUCACUUAUAGAUGGAUCCGCGCUGCAUUAGCUAGUUGGUAAGGUAACGGCUUACCAAGGCAACGAUGCAUAGCCGACCUGAGAGGGUGAUCGGCCACACUGGAACUGAGACACGGUCCAGACUCCUACGGGAGGCAGCAGUAGGGAAUCUUCCGCAAUGGGCGAAAGCCUGACGGAGCAACGCCGCGUGAGUGAUGAAGGUCUUCGGAUCGUAAAACUCUGUUAUUAGGGAAGAACAUAUGUGUAAGUAACUGUGCACAUCUUGACGGUACCUAAUCAGAAAGCCACGGCUAACUACGUGCCAGCAGCCGCGGUAAUACGUAGGUGGCAAGCGUUAUCCGGAAUUAUUGGGCGUAAAGCGCGCGUAGGCGGUUUUUUAAGUCUGAUGUGAAAGCCCACGGCUCAACCGUGGAGGGUCAUUGGAAACUGGAAAACUUGAGUGCAGAAGAGGAAAGUGGAAUUCCAUGUGUAGCGGUGAAAUGCGCAGAGAUAUGGAGGAACACCAGUGGCGAAGGCGACUUUCUGGUCUGUAACUGACGCUGAUGUGCGAAAGCGUGGGGAUCAAACAGGAUUAGAUACCCUGGUAGUCCACGCCGUAAACGAUGAGUGCUAAGUGUUAGGGGGUUUCCGCCCCUUAGUGCUGCAGCUAACGCAUUAAGCACUCCGCCUGGGGAGUACGACCGCAAGGUUGAAACUCAAAGGAAUUGACGGGGACCCGCACAAGCGGUGGAGCAUGUGGUUUAAUUCGAAGCAACGCGAAGAACCUUACCAAAUCUUGACAUCCUUUGACAACUCUAGAGAUAGAGCCUUCCCCUUCGGGGGACAAAGUGACAGGUGGUGCAUGGUUGUCGUCAGCUCGUGUCGUGAGAUGUUGGGUUAAGUCCCGCAACGAGCGCAACCCUUAAGCUUAGUUGCCAUCAUUAAGUUGGGCACUCUAAGUUGACUGCCGGUGACAAACCGGAGGAAGGUGGGGAUGACGUCAAAUCAUCAUGCCCCUUAUGAUUUGGGCUACACACGUGCUACAAUGGACAAUACAAAGGGCAGCGAAACCGCGAGGCCAAGCAAAUCCCAUAAAGUUGUUCUCAGUUCGGAUUGUAGCCUGCAACUCGACUACAUGAAGCUGGAAUCGCUAGUAAUCGUAGAUCAGCAUGCUACGGUGAAUACGUUCCCGGGUCU